CCUGGCAACCCCACGUGCUGCGGAUUAGUGCACUUCCGGCGUGGAGCGCACUUUCAGCAGUCUGGUUGCCGAGGGUGAGCUCGCUGGCAGAGGAACUUGCGCCUUCCAACUCUUAGCAAGAAGGUCCUCACCAGAAGCCAACUGAAUGCCAGCACCAUACCCUUGGAAUUCCCAGAAUCCAGAAUUGGGUCCGCAUGAACACAGUCCCCCACUGCUACAAACUAUGCAGCUGGGUUUCCCACAUUUGGGGAAAUGGCAGAGGUCAGCACAUCCGGAGUGUAAUGGAUGAGCCAUGCCCUGGGAAAACCACCUUUGUGAUAGCUCCCCUGCCAGUUAAAGGACUGCUAAUGAUCAGCAAAUAGCCUGAGGCAGAGAAGGCAAUCCAAGAUCUCUUCGGUUCUUUCCUAAUCAGAGACGGGGCUCUGUCACCUAGGUUGGAGUGCAGUGGGGCCAUCAUAGCUCACUGCAGCCUUGAACUCCUGAGCUUAAGCAAUUCUUCUACGUCGGCCUUCUGGGUACCUAGGACUACAGGCAUAAGCCACUACAUCGGGACAAUUGGUACAAUGCGUACAGGACAUUUGCGGGUACAUGAAACUCUGAAAACCGGCAAUCAAACAGAAACAGAAAUUCAGGUGACUGGUAAGUGACUAUAUUUUCAAAUAAGACUGAUAUUUGGUGAUCUCCCUGGAAAACACUGGUAUCUGAGAUUAGAAAGGAUUUUGUCCAUACUGACGGCACAGACACAAUUAGGGACAGUGGCCCACUCCCGAGGACACUGGGGUUGAGAGCAGUUGACAGGCUCUUCAGGAUCACACAGUGGUGGCCAUGCCUGGACUAGAGUCAGGAAGUAACUAACCUUUUUCCCUGUCCACAGCUUUCCUCCCAGGCAGUAUUGCCAGGUAAAGGUAAGAGAAAG